CCUACGGGGGGCAGCAGUGGGGAAUAUUGGACAAUGGGGGGAACCCUGAUCCAGCCAUGCCGCGUGUGUGAAGAAGGCCCUCGGGUUGUAAAGCACUUUCAGUGAGGAAGAACGCCUGGUGGUUAAUACCCAUCAGGAAAGACAUCACUCACAGAAGAAGCACCGGCUAACUCCGUGCCAGCAGCCGCGGUAAUACGGAGGGUGCGAGCGUUAAUCGGAAUUACUGGGCGUAAAGCGCGCGUAGGUGGCUUGAUAAGCCGGUUGUGAAAGCCCCGGGCUCAACCUGGGAACGGCAUCCGGAACUGUCAAGCUAGAGUGCAGGAGAGGAAGGUAGAAUUCCCGGUGUAGCGGUGAAAUGCGUAGAGAUCGGGAGGAAUACCAGUGGCGAAGGCGGCCUUCUGGACUGACACUGACACUGAGGUGCGAAAGCGUGGGUAGCAAACAGGGUUAGAUACCCGGGCAGUC
rnacentral:rRNA from 1 species